CGUAGUUGGAUUUCUGUUGGGAACGACCGGUCCGCCCACUGGGUGUGCAUCUGGCUUGUUCUCGGCAUCUUCUUGGUGAACGUUGCUGCACUUGACUGUGUGGAGCGCUACCCAGGACUUUUACUUUGAGGAAAUUAGAGUGUUUCAAGCAGGCAUAUGCCUUGAAUAUAUUAGCAUGGAAUAAUAAGAUAGGACUUUGAGUCUAUUUUGUUGGUUUGCGAGUCAAAGUAAUGA
rnacentral:rRNA from 1 species